CCCGUUUGCUAGCGUGGGAAGGACCCGACGAGACGCGCCGUACCGGGACCCGCAAAGACGACGCACC
rnacentral:ncRNA from 1 species